rnacentral:rRNA from 1 species
CAGUGAUAAACUGGAGGAAGGUGGGGAUGACGUCAAGUCAUCAUGGCCCUUACGACCAGGGCUACACACGUGCUACAAUGGCGCAUACAAAGAGAAGCGACCUCGCGAGAGCAAGCGGACCUCAUAAAGUGCGUCGUAGUCCGGAUUGGAGUCUGCAACUCGACUCCAUGAAGUCGGAAUCGCUAGUAAUCGUGGAUCAGAAUGCCACGGUGAAUACGUUCCCGGGCCUUGUACACACCGCCCGUCACACCAUGGGAGUGGGUUGCAAAAGAAGUAGGUAGCUUAACCUUCGGGAGGGCGCUUACCACUUUGU